CUGGUUUGAAUAGGAAAACAGACCUUGACUUACCAUCUCUUGGCAGACUUUGUCAGACUUAUUUUAAAAUUUUGGAGUUUGAACCAGGACACAAAUCUACUUUUUGUCCCAUAUUUGUCUCAUCCAACAUCAUCAUGGCUGAUUCUAAUUUCCCUUUACCACCAGAUGAUUACUGUUCACUGUGUGUGGAGGCAUUGAGAGACCCUGUGACCAUCCCCUGUGGUGACACCUACUGCCUGGAGUGCAUCAAGAUCUACUGGGACCAGUUUGACCACAUGGGUGUGUACAGCUGCCCACAGUGCCGCGCAACCUUCACACCACGGCCCAUGCUGAGACGCAAUCUGCCAGACUUGAAACACGAGCCACUGCGUCAGGAAGCCAGGAAAGAGCUCACUCCGUUCCCCUAUAUGCACCGUGAAUCCUUUUGCGAUUUUUGCAUUGGCCGUCGCAAAAAGGCCAUUAAGUCAUGUCUCAUGUGCCUGGCCUCCUACUGCGAAACGCACGUCAAGCCACAUUAUGAGUCCUCCACCUUUAAGAGACACAAGCUGGUGGAUGAAACGGGACACCUGGACAGGAAGAUCUGCCCCCAGCAUGAGAAAGGCCUAGAGGUGUUCUGUCGCUCUGACCAGAUGUGCAUCUGUGUGCUGUGCACUGUCAGAGAGCAUCGAGGCCACAAUGUUACUUCAGCAGAAGAAGAGCGCAUUGAAAAACAAAAAGUCCUAGUGGUCACCCAGUCUGAAGUCCAGCACAUCAUUCAGGAGAGAAUGAAGGAGCUGCAGGAGCUCAAACACAAUGUAGAUGUUCUCAAAAGUGGUGCUCAGCGAGCACAGGCAGAAAGUGAUAAGACAUUCCACGAAAUGCUGCAGGCAGUGGAGCGCUGGAAGGCUGAAAUCCAUCAGAUGAUAAUGGCCAACAUUCAGGCAGCGAUGUCGCAGGCUGAGGGCUACGUGGACCGUCUGCAGAAGGAGAUCCUGGAGCUACAGCGUAGAGAUGCAGAGCUACGGCAGAUCCUCGAAACAGAGGACAACAUUCACUUUCUGCAGAAUUUUCCGACCCUGUGCAUUCCUCCUGAGGCCAUGGUGCCUAAAGUGCUAAUCAACCCUCAGUUCUCCUUUGGAGAGAUAUGCAAGAUGGCCACAGAGAUGAAGGAACAUCUGGACGUCAUCUGUAAGAAGGAAAUGAGAACAAUGUCCAAGACAGUUAGUGAAACCCCUGUGUACAUACUUUUGCCAAGAAAUGGAAAUGAACGACUUAAAGUUCCUUCCAGAGUUGUUUUUCAGGAGCCACAGUCUAGGACAGACUUCUUAAAAUACUCCUGCAAGAUGUCCUUCAAUCCAAACACAGUCUACAAAGAGCUGGUCCUGUCCGACGGGAACCAGAGGGUCACACGUAAGAAAACAGUCCAGUUUUACCCAGAUCAUCCAGAACGCUUUGAAGGCUUCUGCCAGGUGCUGUGCAAGGAGCCUCUGACUGGUUUUAGAUUUUACUGGGAGGCAGAGUGGAGCGGGGAGUUUUCCAUCGGGGUGGCCUACAAGAGCAUCAGUCGCAAAGGGAAGAAUUCGCACAGCCUGCUGGGCUACAAUGACAAGUCUUGGAUUAUCCUCUGCUCAGACUCAGGCUACUCUGCCUGGCACAAUAAAGUAGAACGGGACCUUCCUGAAGCUCCCAAGGCCACACGAAUUGGUGUGUACCUGGAUUAUGCUGGCAACACUGUGGCAUAUUACUCAAUAUCAAAGACUAUGGAGCUUAUCCACAGAUUCAAAGCUCAGUUUAAUGAGCCUUUGUAUGCUGGUUUUGGUGUGGGCUCCUCUGUUACCCUGUGCCAGCUGAGGCAGAAUCCCACGCCUGAAGAUUUAUUGUAAAGGGUAUAGAACUCUCACUAAAUGUUAUUUCAAGACCAACAAUUAGGAUACAAACUUUUGUUUCAUGCAAGUUCCUGUUCUGUGAAAUUUAUGUUGAUUUACAGGAAUACAGACUGCAAGUAACAAUUCAAACAUCUACAGCUAACGACAGAAGGCUUAUAUUCAACGGCUGUAUCCAAGAAUAAGAGUGUGUGUGUGUGUAAAUUUAAGAAUUAAGGUUAAAGGCACUUCAUAAUAAAGCAACUAUGUAUGUUGUUAUGUAUCAUAAUAUAUUGAUUCCUUUUUAGACAAAUAUUCUACUGCAUUUGUAUGAGUAAUUUAACUGUUUAGUGACUCAUUUUUUAAUAUGUGAUUGUAGCCUUUAGGAUGAAUGCCUUAAUGACAUGUUGUAGCUAUAAUACAAAUUCACAAAUAUCUGCUUAUGGACAAUUACAUUUAUUGUACAAUUUCCCCACUUUAUAGUGAUUAAAAAUAGGUGGGAAAGAAUCUGUCAUGACAAAUACACAUAUUUACAGAGGGAAAAGUAUUAAAAAAGGAGUAUCGGAUUGUUCCCAUCAAGGAUGCAACAAUUGCCAUUGGGAGCUGAGACACAACCGUAAACACCAGAUUAAUCAAAUUGGUUUUAAAGCCCUUUUCUUCAUGCUAUUACCAUUGUUUGUCCCUCUUCCCCUCCCCUGAGAACUGAGAAGCAGCAGAAAACCAUCAAUAGCAAGAAGAAUUGAUAUAAAACUGCUGUCUUUAGGAAAAACUCUUUGUAAAUCGAAAGACACAACAACAAUGGACAAUGUAAUCGCUUUCAUCAAAGAAACAGCAACAGGCCUCCUUGUACCCCAGAGGUUUACACUUAACAUCACAGGCUGGACAGUUGCAAGGUAUUGUUCCAGGCAGAUGUAGCUCUACACCUGGGGAAGCAUAAAGAAGGAACAUUAAACUUGAGAACUGAAUUAGUUUUGUGAAGAGAGAGAGUGAUAGGGAGUGAUCCAGGAGAUAUAAAAAUUCUCGAGAAUUAGAUGAGGAUCUCAUCUAAUAUCUGGUUGAGAGGGAUGAAGUCAGAAAGAUCUUUUCUUACCACAGGACGUAGGCAUUUCUGGGGAGACCAAAGAGAAGGUUUGCUGUGGAUGCAACUAUUGACAACAUUUUCCUCACAGUCUACAUGGUGUUUUUGUCAGGUUACACCCAU